UCAUAUAUUCCUUGUUGCUAUGAUGUCUAGAACUUUCCUGGAGUGUGUGCAAAGCAAAAUAAAGAGUGUGGGUCUAGGAUAUGAUUUAGGCAUUUCUUUGAUAGAUAUGUUUAUACCUGCUUUUGACCUACCCUUGUGUAUAAUCCUAGUUAAACCCAUUGAGACUUUUGCUUAUUUUCUUUGGCAGCCUUAUUUGUUGCCUAAUAUCCUUCUUUGAUUGACUUUAAUUUGAUCCAAAGCUCCUAAAAUCUUUAGUUAGAAUCUAAUUAAUUUAAGGAGUUAGAAAUUCAAGUAGGAGAAAGGUGAAAGUAAAGCCCCUAAGUAAUAGCUAUUGGUGUUCAAAGUAUUAAUAUGUGUUGUGGUUGGGGGUUGAGUAAUGAAAAGAACAAAAAUUUGUUCAAACUGAAUAAGUUGUAUAUAUAGAAAACUCUCACUAUGUGUAUGUGAAUGAGCUUAAUGAGAUGGGGAAAAACAAAAGAGAAGGGUAGAUAAAAGUGGUAUAAAGUGUGAUGUAUUAAAGCUUUUAGGGAAGAUAGUCACUAUUACUAGCUAGAAUAAUUCCUACCCAUCCGUUGGCCUAGAUUAAAACCCUUAAAGACAUUUAAUCCUAAGCUUCUACAUUCUAAUAUUAGUUGAGUACUACACUAAGGGAAAGCUUAUGGCUCAUUUUGUGUACUUGUGAAUUCCUUGUGAGAGUGAGUGUAAUUUGAUUUUUAUACCCAUUUGGGUGAUUCAUAUGAUGUAUUUGAUUGAAUAAUAUACAUGAGUUUUCCAACUAGGUGAGUCAAUUCUUUAGCCCAGGAUGGUUUGGAGUAGUAUUCUUGAGCUUACAUCUGUACAUAACAUGCUUAGUGUAGAAACUUACAUUCUGUGUAGUCAUUGUAGUACUAGAUCAAGUGUCUUUCUGGUAGUAUAAGUGUAGAGUUACCUCAGAUUAUUAUUCUUAGAUUAAAUUGUUGUUCGAGGAAUAACCAGGCUUUAAGUGUGGGGUGAUGAUCUGAGGUGGAUUUAUGCACUUUAGUGUUGUUAUCAUAGCUUAUUUAGCCUUGUUUUGAGGACAACUUGUGUGCUUAAUGUGUUAAUGACAAUAUAAUUGAGAAUUUAAGUGUUUAAGUACUUGAUUACAAAGUUCAUUAUGUCUUUCAAACAAGUUACACUCAAAUUGAUCAUUUAGAAUUUGAACGAGAAAACUAGUGUUUCGAGCUUGAGAUAGGUAUUGUUUAGUCUAUCGUGAUUGAAUCUAAUGUGAGUAAUGAGUUCCUAAGGUUAUCAUUGAGGAAUUAUGUGUGUAAAACUUGUUUAUAAUUUUUAAAGUGUAAUUGUAAGAAUAUAAGAGUCAAAAUAAUAAGUUGAAGAUCAAUUGGGCAAGACUAGUCUUAGCUUGGGUUUAUAGUUCAUCGUUGUGGAUUGUUUGUUGUUUUAAGAUCUAAUCGGAGGUGUAUGAUGAUGUAGGAUGCUUUGUGAGUUGAUUUUGAUGAUAAAUAUAUGUUUAACAAUCUGUAAAUCAAGGAAAAACUACUCCACCAGGCUUGGUAUAGAAGGACAAAGGCUAAAAACUAGUUUAGAUAUCAAAUGGCACUUUCCAGAGAUGCCUCAGGAUAGGGGUGCGUUGCAACCCAUACUCCACUGAAAUUAGUAGUGUUACACGGCCCUGAAUCCCAUUAAAUGAGCCUCGUGUCACUACCCUCACUCCCAUAGACCAACCAUCGUGUCGCGACCUCAUUCCUAACACAGCCAAAAUACUUGUCCUAUAAAUAGGACUCUUAUACUUGUUUCUAUUCAACCUUGGACGUCUUGGAGAUUUGGAGGGGGUAUGUAAAACAUUUAUUUUAGGGUUUAUAUCUCUUUAGUUUAGAUUUUUAAUGGAUUAUAUCAUGUAUUAUAGAUUUAAAGUGACAACCUUAAUCAAAUAUAUAGGGUAGGUGGGAAGUGGUGACACACAAAGAUCUAUCCUGAAAGACCACUCUUUCGACUAAGGAUGCCUAAUCGCCGCACCGAUCAUUCAGGGGAAGGCAAGACACUGCGAGGUGUGUAAUUUAUCUAGGGUGGAUGCCUCCUAAGAGUAACAAAGGUGUGCAAAAUUAGGAUCAAGCUAAGAUUCUGCUCGUGAGCAUAAUGGUAUAAGCCUUUCUUACUGUGAGAUCGACUGGUCGAACAGAGAUGAAAGUUGGCCAUAGUGAUCCGAGAGUCCUGUGUGGAACAGCUCUCGCUCAACGUAACAAAGAUGCGAUAGGGAUAACAAGCCGAUGACUCCCAAGAGCUAUUAUAGAUGGAGUUGUUUGGACCCUCGAUGUCGACUCAUCAUAUCCUUGGGUUGAAGAAGGUCCCAAGGGUUUGGUCGUUUGCCAAUUCAAGUGGUACAUGAGUUUGGUUUAGAACAUUGUGUGACAGUUCGAUUCCUAUCUACCAUGUAUGUUAAACAGAGAAUUGCAAUAAGCCAACCCUAUUAUGAGAGGAUUAGGUUGGUCUAACCUAUGGCAUACCAGUUGUUAUGAAAAUAGAAGCAUCGAGCAGCUAAGUUGGUAUGGAAGAACUAUUGCCUGUGGGAAAUCCUUCUCUAUACAGGUUCUCGGAUGAUGUUUUUGAAUAGAACUUUGAUAGGUGAGAGGUGUAAGCACCGCGAGGUGUUAGCUAAUCUCGUACAAAAUGAAAUGACUUUCACUU
rnacentral:rRNA from 1 species